UGCCUUUAUAAUUCUGGUUGAAGCAAGGUGGCCAGAAGAUCUGAUGUGUCUGCUCUGCCAAGAAACAGCACAAGCUUUCAAGUGAGGAAACAAGGGAUUGUUUCGGGUCUUUGUCACAUGAUUGACACUGAACUGAGAGGGAGGAUACGUACACCUCCAUGUGAGAAUGUGUGACAGGAGAAACGCAAAGAAGACAGCAUGCAGGAGGAAGGGAAUAAAGCUGUGGACAGAGGCAUAAUAAAGAAUUCUGGAUCAGAUCAAGACUUUAAAAAAUAUAUUUUUGCUAAGCAACAAGAAAAGAAUUUCCUUUUGGAAAAGCAGUGUUCACGCAUGUAUGCACGCGCACGCGUGCACACACACACACACACACACAGAAGAAAUGCACAUUAAAUAUGAAAAAGCAUUUCUUUAAGACAGAAGCAAAACAACUCGGCUACAAAUUAGCUCUCGGCCCCAUCAGGUGUGAAUCUCUCCUGUCAAUAAGUACCAAACUCCCUGAGAUAGAACCACAUGUUCAUGAAUUUUAUUCCUCUCCUGCUUAACUCCUAGUUCCACUCUCCCUUGUGGAUUUGCUCAGGGAUGAUUUACAGUGGGAAAGGUGACAUUAAACACGUCAUUGAGCAUGCAAAGAUGCCGCACUCAAAGCAGCAUAUGCUUGACUUUGUUAAAAGAUGAAUGCUGCCAACUCCACAGCGCCCACCAAGAUCUGGCCUUCUUUUUCUCCCCAACAAACUUUGAGGAGGAUUCAAACACUGGCCUUGACACUGUGCAAAAUAAAAGUUAAUGUAUGCAUGACAUGAUUUCACUUGCAGGCUGAUUUAGCAAUGUCUUGUCUCGUUU